GCCGGGAUAGCUCAGUCGGUAGAGCAGAGGACUGAAAAUCCUCGUGUCACAAGUUCAAAUAA
rnacentral:tRNA from 1 species